GAGUUUGAUCAUGGCUCAGGAUGAACGCUGGCGGCGUGCCUAACACAUGCAAGUCGAGCGAAGCACUUUACUUUGAGAUCUUCGGAAGGAUAAGUUUUGUGACUGAGCGGCGGACGGGUGAGUAACGCGUGGGCAACCUGCCUCACACAGGGGGAUAACAGUUAGAAAUGACUGCUAAUACCGCAUAAGGCCACAGCACCGCAUGGUGCAGGGGUAAAAACCUCCGGUGGCGUGAGAUGGGCCCGCGUCUGAUUAGCUAGUUGGUAAGGUAACGGCUUACCAAGGCGACGAUCAGUAGCCGACCUGAGAGGGUGACCGGCCACAUUGGGACUGAGACACGGCCCAAACUCCUACGGGAGGCAGCAGUGGGGAAUAUUGCACAAUGGGGGAAACCCUGAUGCAGCGACGCCGCGUGAGCGAAGAAGUAUUUCGGUAUGUAAA
rnacentral:rRNA from 1 species